rnacentral:sRNA from 1 species
AGACAGUCUCGGCCUUGAGGAACCCCCUUCGCCUCCGGUCCCCCAGCCGACCUUCCUCCGCUCCCCACGCCCUCCCCGGAGAACCCCACUGUCACUCGCGAUGCUCCGAAGACCCGGGAACUGGGCGAGGAAGGCGGCGGCCGCCUUUUUCCAGCUGGGGGGAACAAUCCUGCACCAUGACUCAACAGCCACUUCGAGGAGUGACCAGCCUGCGUUUCAACCAAGACCAAAGCUGCUUUUGCUGCGCCAUGGAGACAGGUGUGCGCAUCUACAACGUGGAGCCCUUGAUGGAGAAGGGGCAUCUGGACCACGAGCAGGUGGGCAGCAUGGGCUUGGUGGAGAUGCUGCACCGCUCCAACCUUCUGGCCUUGGUGGGCGGUGGUAGUAGUCCCAAGUUCUCAGAGAUCUCAGGUAAGUGCCCUCAUCCUGCCCUUUGGCCCAGAUUUCUCGGAUUCCUGGCCUCCCACAGGCACCCCAAGGUACUGGCAGAUGAAGACGUCAGAGUACUUCAGAGUCACACAGAGAGGAGGCCUACAGCUUGGAAGUCAUGGAUCUUAUAGCUUGAGA